AGAGUUUGAUCAUGGCUCAGAGCGAACGCUGGCGGCAUGCCUAACACAUGCAAGUCGAACGAAGUCUUCGGACUUAGUGGCGCACGGGUGCGUAACGCGUGGGAAUCUGCCCUUGGGUACGGAAUAACUCAGAGAAAUUUGUGCUAAUACCGUAUAAUGACUUCGGUCCAAAGAUUUAUCGCCCAAGGAUGAGCCCGCGUAAGAUUAGCUAGUUGGUGGGGUAAAAGCCUACCAAGGCGACGAUCUUUAGCUGGUCUGAGAGGAUGAUCAGCCACACUGGGACUGAGACACGGCCCAGACUCCUACGGGAGGCAGCAGUGGGGAAUAUUGGACAAUGGGCGGAAGCCUGAUCCAGCAAUGCCGCGUGAGUGAUGAAGGCCCUAGGGUUGUAAAGCUCUUUUACCCGGGAUGAUAAUGACAGUACCGGGAGAAUAAGCUCCGGCUAACUCCGUGCCAGCCGCCGCGGUAAUAC
rnacentral:rRNA from 1 species